rnacentral:misc_RNA from 1 species
CUGUCCUUAACGAAGCGGCCG